rnacentral:rRNA from 1 species
AUGUCACUCAUGACCAUUGCCACUUCCGUAGCCCUUGCUUUGUGCUUCGCCCCUGCUCCGUUUGUGGCGGCGACAGUCUCGGCACGGCGUCAGCUGCGAGGCCGCGACACGCUGGUAUCGGCACAGCGCAAGUUCGAGCUCGGCCUCUUCAGCCCCGCUGGCAGCUCCGACGGCAGGUUCUACCUCGGAAUAUGGUACAAGAACAUCCCCGGUCAGACCGUCAUCUGGGUCGGCAACCGCGCGACCCCCCUGUCCGGCGUCGCCUCCGCCGAGCUCCGGGUGUCCGCCGACGAUGGCAACAUCGAGCUCGUCGGUCCCACCAGCGCCUCGGCCUCGCCGGUCGUCGUGUGGUCUUCGAACCUCUCGUCUUCAUCCUUGUCGUCGCCGGGCUCCAACACAGCGGAGAUCCGCGACGACGGCAAUCUGGUCCUUGUCGACGGCGGCAACUCCUCCAACGUGCUGUGGCAGAGCUUCGACCACCCGACGGACACACACGUGCCAGGGGCGUGGAUCGGCGAGAACAAGCUCACCAGCGAGUACCAGACGCUGACGUCGUGGCGGAAUUCCCAAGACCCCGCGCCGGGGAUGUUCACCGACAUGAUAGACCCCAACGGCACCAGCGAGUUCUUCUACAUGUGGAACCGUUCCCGUGCGUACUGGCGGAGCGGCGUCUGGACGGGGCAAGUCUUCGAGAGGCUGCCAGACGCGACGAGGAGCAUCACGUCGUACGAGGAGACGUCGGCGUACCGGCGUCUCACCAACGUCAUCACGGACAACACGACCAUCACGCGCUUGGUGCUCGAUCUAACCGGACAAGCGAAGCUGUACAUCUGGGUGCCCGCGAGACAGAGCUGGCGCUCACCAUGCAGUGUGAAGUGUACGCGCUCUGCGGCGUGUUCAGCAUCUGUGAACAGAGGAGCCAACUGCCAUGCCGGUGCCCGCCCGGGUUCGCUCCGGUGUCGGAGGAGGACUGGACACUCAACGACUGGAGCGGUGGCUGUCGCCGGAGCUCGCCGCUCACAUGCGCGCACAACGGGUCGACGAAUGACGGGUUCUUAG